rnacentral:rRNA from 1 species
AUGGAAGCCGGCGAUCAUCGCGAUCAAUCCAUGGCCGGUGUGGCGGCGCACGCGCAGCUGCUGCCCGUGCCCGACGACAUCCUCGCGUGCGUCCUCCGCCGUCUCGAGCCACGCAGCCUCGCUGCGUCUGCAAAGGCUGGCGCGACGUCAUCGACGGCCGCCGCCUGCUGCGGACGGACCUCCUCCCGCUCUCGCUCUACGGGAUCUUCUUCAUGGAGAUAG